GCAGGCCGCACACGGCGGCCGUGGAGCGGCCCACGCCGGCGUUACAGUGGACGUAGACGCAGUGGCCGUUCUCCAGGAGGCCGUGGAGCAGGAACACGGCCUGCGGCAGCAUCCUGACCCGACCUGCGGAAGAAGAGUCGCCUGGCCGAGUGGGUGGCAGUAGACGCCGUCCACCACGUUCUCCUCAUCAAACGAGCACCGCCUGUCGUGGCUCGGGCCGUUGCCUGGUGACAAACAAGAUGGAGUCUGCGCAGUAACCGCUAACAGACACCAGGGGUCAGGAUUGCACCGCUUUUUCUACCACGUGUCGGUAACGUUGACUGCCCUUUGGUUCAUGAGGAAGACGGCGCGUAUUGAGGUCGAGGUCACCUACAGAACAGGAACCUGGAGCUGCAGAAGCUGACUCAUGGACACAUCAACAGGACUCAACACACUCGUGAUGACAUGUUCAAGCAAAACCGUCUGGACAGUGGGACCACCACCCUGGUUAGGCUCAGAAUCACAUAGAAAAUACUGGAAAAGAAGGUGAAAUGUUUUCUUAUAUUUAUUUAUUUGUUUAUUUCAAACUUGACUAUAUGCCUAAUGCACAUCCUCUAAUGGAAUAUUAAACAUAUGCAAAUUAUGUGCAUAUUUGUAUUGAAACCAAAAUUAGUGCAUGCCUGAACAAGACUUACAGUAUAAGAUUCCAAGAAUGAUGUCAUCCAUGGAGCUGUAAUUUAAGUGUUUAAGUGUUUGUUUGCGGUUUGCUUUUAAGCAGGUUUAUAGCGAUUAUCGAGCUUCUUAAAUAAAAGUAUAGGUUGUCAACA